GACGAACGCUGGCGGCGUGCCUAAUACAUGCAAGUCGAGCGGACCAAGAAGAGCUUGCUCUUUGAGGUUAGCGGCGGACGGGUGAGUAACACGUGGGCAACCUGCCUGUAAGCUGGGGAUAACUCCGGGAAACCGGUGCUAAUACCGAAUACAACAAAGGACCGCAUGGUCCCUUGUGAAAAGACCUUGUGUCACUUACAGAUGGGCCCGCGGCGCAUUAGCUUGUUGGUGGGGUAACGGCCUACCAAGGCGACGGUGCGUAGCCGACCUGGGAGUGUGAUCGGCCACGAGGGGACUGAGACAGCGACCAGACUCCUACGGGAGGCAGCAGUAGGGAAUCUUACGCAAUGGACGAAAGUCUGACGGAGCAACGCCGCGUGAGUGAUGAAGGUUUUCGGAUCGUAAAGCUCUGUUGUCAGGGAAGAACCACCGGGAUGACCUCCCGGUCUGACGGUACCUGACGAGAAAGCCCCGGCUAACUACGUGCCAGCCGCCGCAGUAACAC
rnacentral:rRNA from 1 species